rnacentral:rRNA from 1 species
AGCCGCCACGGUAAUACGUAGGGCGCAAGCGUUGUCCGGAAUUAUUGGGCGUAAAGAGCUCGUAGGCGGUCUGUCGCGUCUGGUGUGAAAUCCCGAGGCUCAACCUCGGGCUUGCAUCGGGUACGGGCAGACUAGAGUGCGGUAGGGGAGACUGGAAUUCCUGGUGUAGCGGUGGAAUGCGCAGAUAUCAGGAGGAACACCGAUGGCGAAGGCAGGUCUCUGGGCCGCAACUGACGCUGAGGAGCGAAAGCAUGGGGAGCGAACAGGAUUAGAUACCCCAGUAGUCCCUGUCUCUUAUACA